rnacentral:rRNA from 1 species
UACGUAGGGCGCAAGCGUUGUCCGGAAUUAUUGGGCGUAAAGAGCUCGUAGGUGGCUUGUCGCGUCGGGUGUGAGAGCUUGGGGCUUAACUCCAGGUCUGCAUUCGAUACGGGCUGGCUAGAGGUAGGUAGGGGAGAACGGAAUUCCUGGUGUAGCGGUGAAAUGCGCAGAUAUCAGGAGGAACACCGGUGGCGAAGGCGGUUCUCUGGGCCUUACCUGGCGCUGAGGAGCGAAAGCGUGGGGAGCGAACAGG